rnacentral:lncRNA from 12 species
GUUUUCUCAGAUUAGUUAACUCUCUUCCUGAGACACUGGACUGGAUGUGACUUUGAAAACUCGGCCUAGGACUGUGGAAUUUAUGGAAUUUAUGAAAUUGUACUUGGAGUAGAAAGCUGAAUUUUCUGUGUUAAAAUUUGUCUGUAUCAGAUUUACAUUAGAAAAAAGGUGCUCUUUCUCCAGCAGUGCAGAAAUGGC